rnacentral:rRNA from 1 species
AGCCAUGCCGCGUGCAGGAAGACUGCCCUAUGGGUUGUAAACUGCUUUUAUACAGGAAGAAACACUCCCUCGUGAGGGAGCUUGACGGUACUGUAAGAAUAAGGAUCGGCUAACUCCGUGCCAGCAGCCGCGGUAAUAAUCACU